UACGGAGGGGGCUAGCGUUGUUCGGAAUUACUGGGCGUAAAGCGCACGUAGGCGGCUUUGUAAGUUAGAGGUGAAAGCCCAGGGCUCAACCCUGGAAUUGCCUUUAAGACUGCAUCGCUAGAAUUGUGGAGAGGUAAGUGGAAUUCCGAGUGUAGAGGUGAAAUUCGUAGAUAUUGGGAAGAACACCGGUGGCGAAGGCGGCGAGCUGGUCCAUUACUGACGCUGAGGCGCGACAGCGUGGGGAGCAAACAGG
rnacentral:rRNA from 1 species